GUGUCAGCCGCCGCGGUAAGACAGAGGGCUCAAACGUUGUUCGGAAUUACUGGGCAUAAAGCGCACGCAGGCGGCUUGCUAAGUCGGGUGUGAAAUCCCUUGGCUCAACCGAGGAACUGCAUUCGAUACUGGUAGGCUCGAGGACGGGAGGGGUAAGCGGAACUCCAGGUGGAACGGUGAAAUGUGUAGAUAUCUGGAGGAACACCGGUGGCGAAAGCGGCUUACUGGCCCGUAUCUGACGCUCAUGUGCGAAAGCUAGGGGAGCAAACGGGAUUAGAAACCCCCGUAGUCC
rnacentral:rRNA from 1 species